CCCCAGGUGCUCUACUGCACGAGCUGUCCAACGAUGGUGCCCACAAGCAGUUUGACCACUACCUCGAGGAACUGAUUCUGCCCAUCAUGGUGGGCUGUGCCAAGAAAGGCGAGCGAGAGUGUCACAUCGUUGUGCUGACAGACGAGGACUCCGUGGACUGGGAUGAAGACCACCCCCCACCCAUGGGGGAAGAGUAUUCCCAAAUUCUUUACAGCUCCAAGCUCUACAGAUUCUUCAAAUACAUCGAGAAUCGAGAUGUUGCUAAAACUGUGCUGAAAGAGCGAGGCCUGAAGAACAUUCGAAUUGGAAUUGAAGGUUACCCGACCUGUAAAGAAAAGAUCAAGAGGAGGCCUGGUGGGCGGUCUGAAGUUAUCUACAAUUAUGUGCAGCGCCCUUUUAUCCAGAUGUCCUGGGAAAAGGAGGAAGGAAAGAGUCGCCAUGUGGAUUUCCAGUGUGUCCGCAGCAAAU
rnacentral:lncRNA from 1 species